rnacentral:rRNA from 1 species
UACGUAGGGUGCAAGCGUUGUCCGGAAUUAUUGGGCGUAAAGAGCUCGUAGGCGGCUUGUCACGUCGACUGUGAAAACCCGAGGCUCAACCUCGGGCCUGCAGUGGGUACGGGCAGGCUUGAGUUCGGUAGGGGGAGACUGGAAUUCCUGGUGUAGCGGUGAAAUGCGCAGAUAUCAGGAGGAACACCGGUGGCGAAGGCGGGUCUCUGGGCCGAUACUGACGCUGAGGAGCGAAAGCGUGGGGAGCGAACAGG